UACGAAGGGAGCUAGCGUUGUUCGGAAUCACUGGGCGUAAAGCGCACGUAGGCGGAUUUGUUAGUCAGGGGUGAAAUCCCGGGGCUCAACCUCGGAACUGCCUUUGAUACUGCAAGUCUCGAGUCCGGAAGAGGUGGGUGGAAUUCCUAGUGUAGAGGUGAAAUUCGUAGAUAUUAGGAAGAACACCGGUGGCGAAGGCGGCCCACUGGUCCGGUACUGACGCUGAGGUGCGAAAGCAUGGGGAGCAAACAGG
rnacentral:rRNA from 1 species